rnacentral:rRNA from 1 species
AUCAACUUUCGAUUGGUAGGAUAGAGGCCUACCAUGGUGGUAACGGGUAACGGGGUGUUAGGGCACGACACCGGAGAGGGAGCCUGAGAAACGACUACCACAUCCAAGGAUGACAGCAGGCGCGCAAAUUACCCAAUCCCGACACGGGGAGGUAGUGACAAUAAAUAACAAUACGGGGUUCUUUCGGAUCUCGUAAUUGGAAUGAGUACAAUUUAAAUCUCUUAACGAGGAACAAUUGGAGGGCAAGUCUGGUGCCAGCAGCCGCGGUAAUUCCAGCUCCAAUAGCGUAUAUUAAAGUUGUUGCAGUUAAAAAGCUCGUAGUUGAAUUUCGGGGUUAGUAGGCUGGUCAUGCCACCGGUAUGUACUGGUCUUACUGAUUCCUCCUUCCUGAUGAACUGUAAUGCCAUUAAUUUGGUGUUGCAGGGAAUCUGGACUGUUACUUUGAAAAAAUUAGAGUGUUUAAAGCAGGCUAACGCUUGAAUACAUUAGCAUGGAAUAAUGAAAUAGGACGUUCGAUCCUAUUUUGUUGGUUUCUAGGAUUGACGUAAUGAUUAAUAGGGAUAGUUGGGGGCAUUAGUAUUCAAUUGUCAGAGGUGAAAUUCUUGGAUUUAUUGAAGACUAACUACUGCGAAAGCAUUUGCCAAGGAUGUUUUCAUUAAUCAAGAACGAAAGUUAGGGGAUCGAAGACGAUCAGAUACCGUCGUAGUCUUAACCAUAAACUAUGCCGACUAGGGAUCGGAUGAUGUUAAUUUUUUAAUGACUCAUUCGGCGUCUUACGGGAAACAAAGUGUUGGGUUC